AGAGAGGAAUGGAGGAAUUGUGCACGAUAGUGGCCAUGGAUUCCAGCAACGUCUCCUACACGAUCUGCACCACAUGCGAAAAGACAUUAGUUACCGGUUCUACUUGCAAUUCUACUAAUGAUAAUGACGUUCCUCCUUUCUGCAAGUUCUGCCAAGAUUUCAAGACUGCUGCUGCAGCGGCCUUCAUCACUUCUUCUUCUUCCCGUUUCAAGCGUCUCUAUCGCCUUCUAUUGUCAAUUGCUUAUGGAAACAAAGUAGUUGUGGUUAUAUGCUUUGAUAAGGCUGCCCGAGUCCUGUUUGGCUGUUCCGCUGACGAGUUUUUUGACUUUGAGAAAGUGAACCCAUUUGCAGCACUGAAUGCUGGUAAAAUUCUGGAGGGAGAAAUGUUUCAGAUGAAGCUAUGCGAACCGAAGAAUGGCAAUGCGCAACAUCUCCGAGCUGUUUCGGUUGUUCCCUUGCGCUCUGGUUUCCGUCCUGUGAUUGACACUUUGAGGAAACUAUACAGAGUCGGGCAUUCGUCCCAUCAAGUUCCACAGUCUCGUUCACAUUCACCAUUUCAGACAUCUUAGCAUGGAUUCAUGGUCCUGUUGUGUAUAACAUGCUCUCCGGAUUUGAUCUAUCCUGGUCUAAAGUUGCAGACGGUUCCUUGGACUAUAGGGAGAUAAGCAUUUGAGGAAAAGAAAAGUGAGGCCUUUGGAAGGAACUUGCUGCUUAUUUGUAUAUGUUGUACAAACAGCAUAACUGCCCCUCUUAGUUCACUUAAAAUAUGGAGGUAUGACAAUUAUGGGAAAGAGAGCAAGAACAGAAGAAAAAAGAGAACUUUAUAUUCUAGUAGUGUGAUGGAUGAUAAGCAAGCACUUAGAAAUUACUUAGAAAUUGCAUGGAUGGCAUGUAAGCAAUUCAAAUUAAAGUUUCCAAAUUAUUGACAAUUACAGGAAAGAGAGCAAGAACAGAAGAAAAAAGAGAAUUUUAUA